GAUGAACGCUGACAGAAUGCUUAACACAUCAGCAAUUGAUUGGUGGCGGACGGGUGAGUAACGCGUAAAGAACUUGCCUCACAGGUAGGGACAACAUUUGGAAACGAAUGCGAAUACCUAAUACUGGGAGAGAGCUUUGCGUCCCAUUAGCUAGUUGGAGAGGUAACGGCUCACCAAGGCGAUGAUGGGUAGCCGGCCUGAGAGGGUGAUCGGCCACAAGGGGACGGAUACACGGCCCGUACUCCUACGGGGGGCAGCAGGGGGGAAUAAUGGGCAAAGGGCCAAAGUCUGAUCCAGCAAUUAGGUUUGCGCGAUGAAGUUUUCGGAAUGUAAAGUGCUGUCUGUUGGGAAGCGGUACCUACAGAAGAAGUGACGGCUAAAUACGUGCCAGCAGCCGCGGUAAUUC
rnacentral:rRNA from 1 species